CACAAAGUUACGAAACCUGCUGAAGCAGAAGCAUCUGCUUCAAACGUACAUGUAGGAACCGAAGUUGAUACUGCUACCAAUAUAUCUGUACCAGACAACAAUGGAGUGCAUCUACAUGACCACGAGUAUACAGCAUCAAACCCUCAACAUUUAAAAAUGUACAGUGUACGAUACAAGUAUUGUCAAUACCAGAUAUUAGUACAUCAAACCAGGAAGUUACAGCGGUUGUUAAGUUUAGUGUCAGGUGGUUUUCUGUAUUUUCUUCAUUCUCAUUUCAGUGUUAUCUAAAUUUAUAUGCACACCAAAUUCUAUAAUGGUAUUGUUUUUGUUCUUACAUCUUCCCUUGAAGACUAGGAUGUUGAAAACUUGCAGUGAGAAAUAUACCUGCUUAAUUAAAGGAAACCAUCCAUAACAAUUGGAAACAUCAUAAUUUAAAGACCCUGAAAAUGGAUCAUGAACACUGUUGGGAGUGUCCAUUCAACUGAAAUAUCAAAGUCAGAAGAAUUGAAGAUUGCAAUGGAUGCAACAGAAGUGACCUAAUAUGACCAAAUUGAUAUGAAUAGCCAGUCUUUCGCUUACAGUAAUUACAAGAGUCGCCACAAAGGAAAGACUUUUAUGUGUAUUACACCUAAUGCAGCUCAUUUCCAAUCUGUAUGCUGGAUACAAAUCUGAUUUGGCAAUUGUGAACCUUUGUGGCAUUUGAGAAAACUUGCAAGUUGGUGAUAUAUUCCUGGCGGACAAAGGAUUUUGUAUAUUUGACAAACUUCCAAAUGACAUGACACUUAAUAUCCCAUUCUUUCUUACAAAUAAAUCCCACUUCUCAAAAGAGGAUGCACAACUUUGCUAUAAAAUUUCCAGAUGCAGAAUCCAUGUUGAAUGGGAAAAUGAGAGAAUAAUUUUUUUUUAAAAAUUCCUUAGCCAUAUUCGAUCAUAGUAUAGAUAUUGAUCUGACAAAAUAUUUCAGCUUUGUGUGGCCCAUGUGAUUUUGUAGGUUCCCCUUUUGAAGGAGAUUGCAGAUAAAUCCUACAAACUUAUUAAAUUAAUUGCAUGUAUAUAUAUAUAUAUAUAUAUAUAUAUAUAUAUAUAUAUAUAU